CACGAUUUUUAGACGCUCAAAUUUUUUGAAAAGCAUAAAGUUCUUCAGCUUCGCCUCAUUCUCGUUCCUUGAAAAACCCUAACCGUCACCUUAUCAAAAACCCCAACACUGUCUCCACUACCCACUUCAAUGGAUUCCCUCUCAACCACUCUUCUCUCCUCGACAAACCCAAAUUAAUCACUUGUUUGAUAAACACUCCUCCCAAUCCCAAGAUCGGUUCUUCAAUUUCGCCGUCGGUCCGACGACUAUGCCUGAAAACGUGCCUAAGAUCGCUUAAUCUGAACUUUACAACUGGCAUGGCUCCGAAAUCAGCGUGAUGGAGAUGAACAUAGAGGCAAAUAGUCUCUCUCAAUCAUCUAUAAAGAAGAAGCACUCUGUCCUCUUCGCAUGUCUCUGUGUUUGGACUCUGGAGUUUCAGGAGGGAACAAGGGAACUCUUUGAUGUCUCUUGAAGGCCCAAUAAGCAUUGUUCAGGUCAUUGGACUACCUUAACAAGGGGUUACUAUCAAGACACUUGCUGACAAGAUGACUGAGGCACUAGAGUGGCUCUUAGUGGGGAAUUCUUGUAUUCAACGGGGAAAUGCACAAAGCUAAAAACACUUUGAAGAAUUUUAAGAUUCUAGAAGACUAGUAUGAAAGGAUGAGAGUUUCUUUUACUUGUUAGUUUGAAUUUGUGUGACAAUUGAAUAGUUAGUUUUACUUUGUAAUGUAAUUGAAUAUUGUAAUGUAAUUUUGUAAUAAAAU